CUCGACCUGACCACCUGUGUCGGUUUCAGUUACACUGGAAUCGUACCCGAAACCGACACAGGUGGUCAGGUCGAGUAGACCAAAGCGCUUGAGAGAACUCUGCUGAAGGAACUAGGCAAAAUGGUACCGUAACUUCGGGAGAAGGUACGCUGUUGAUGGUGAUAGGACUUGCUCCUUGAGCUGUCGACAGCCUCAGAAACCAGGCCGCUGCAACUGUUUAUUAAAAACAUAGCACUCUGCAAACACGAAAGUGGACGUAUAGGGUGUGAUGCCUGCCCGGUGCUGGAAGGUUAAUUGAUGGGGUUAGCGUAAGCGAAGCUCUUGAUCGAAGCCCCAGUAAACGGCGGCCGUAACUAUAACGGUCCUAAGGUAGCGAAAUUCCUUGUCGGGUAAGUUCCGACCUGCACGAAUGGCGUAAUGAUGGCGGCGCUGUCUCCAGCAGAGGCUCAGUGAAAUCGAAUUCGCCGUGAAGAUGCGGUGUACCCGCGGCUAGACGGAAAGACCCCGUGAACCUUUACUGCAGCUUGACAUUGAACUUUGACCUUACUUGUGUAGGAUAGGUGGGAGGCUUUGAAACUUGGACGCUAGUCCGAGUGGAGCCGUCCUUGAAAUACCACCCUGGUAAUGUUGAGGUUCUAACUCUGUCCCGUUAUCCGGGACGAGGACCAUGUCUGGUGGGUAGUUUGACUGGGGCGGUCUCCUCCUAAAGAGUAACGGAGGAGUACGAAGGUGCGCUCAGCGUGGUCGGAAAUCACGCGUAGAGUAUAAAGGCAAAAGCGCGCUUAACUGCGAGACCCACAAGUCGAGCAGGUACGAAAGUAGGUCUUAGUGAUCCGGUGGUUCUGUAUGGAAGGGCCAUCGCUCAACGGAUAAAAGGUACUCUGGGGAUAACAGGCUGAUACCGCCCAAGAGUUCAUAUCGACGGCGGUGUUUGGCACCUCGAUGUCGGCUCAUCUCAUCCUGGGGCUGAAGCAGGUCCCAAGGGUAUGGCUGUUCGCCAUUUAAAGAGGUACGCGAGCUGGGUUUAGAACGUCGUGAGACAGUUCGGUCCCUAUCUACCGUGGGCGCUGGAAAUUUGAGAGGAUCUGCUCCUAGUACGAGAGGACCAGAGUGGACGAACCUCUGGUGUACCGGUUGUGACGCCAGUCGCAUCGCCGGGUAGCUAUGUUCGGAAGGGAUAACCGCUGAAAGCAUCUAAGCGGGAAGCCUACCUCAAGAUAAGAUUUCCCCGAGGCUUUAUGCCUCCUAAAGAGCCGUUGAAGACUACGACGUUGAUAGGUUGGAUGUGGAAGCAUAGCGAUAUGUGAAGCUGACCAAUACUAAUUGCUCGUGAGGCUUGACUAU
rnacentral:rRNA from 1 species